AUUGAACGCUGGCGGCAUGCCUUACACAUGCAAGUCGAACGGCAGCACGGGAGCAAUCCUGGUGGCGAGUGGCGAACGGGUGAGUAAUAUAUCGGAACGUGCCCAAUCGUGGGGGAUAACGCAGCGAAAGCUGUGCUAAUACCGCAUACGAUCUACGGAUGAAAGCGGGGGAUUCGCAAGAACCUCGCGCGAAUGGAGCGGCCGAUAUCAGAUUAGCUAGUUGGUGGGGUAAAAGCUCACCAAGGCGACGAUCUGUAGCUGGUCUGAGAGGACGACCAGCCACACUGGGACUGAGACACGGCCCAGACUCCUACGGGAGGCAGCAGUGGGGAAUUUUGGACAAUGGGCGCAAGCCUGAUCCAGCAAUGCCGCGUGCAGGAAGAAGGCCUUCGGGUUGUAAACUGCUUUUGUACGGAACGAAAAGGUCUGGGUUAAUACCCUGGGCUCAUGACGGUACCGUAAGAAUAAGCACCGGCUAACUACGUG
rnacentral:rRNA from 1 species